rnacentral:lncRNA from 1 species
UUGGUAUGCGUUUGUUGGUUGUUUGUUGUUGGAAAUCUGUAUGUGAAAGACUUAUUGGGUACAUAUGAAAAAGGGCAGACAGGCCCAUUACAUAGAGAAUCCUACCGUGAAAGUUAUCUUAGUCGGACAGGGUUGGAAAGUCUCUUACUAGAAAGGUUUGAAAAAUAUGGUUCACCAUCUUACCGGACGGGGUAUCGAGAUGAUGAAAUAUUUGGCGUCCAUUAUCGAACGGGGUAUGGAGACGAUCGGUUAAUUCUAAAAUUAGAU